UCACCUGGUCAAGUCCCCCGAUGUUGGGA
rnacentral:sRNA from 1 species